rnacentral:lncRNA from 1 species
GUUAGGUUUUGGGCUUUCAAAAAUAGAUGGAGAAAAGUGUAAGGAUAGAAAAUCUCCCCUUAAGAGUCUUGAUUCCAUUGUGGUUGAGGAAGAUAUUUUUCCUAGUUUCUCUUGCUCACUUUCUUCCACUUCUUUUCUUUCAAUUUCUUUUAUUCUCUCUUCCUCUCUUCUUCUUGUUACCAAUAAACGAGUAUUGGUAAAACCUGAAGACAAGUUUUGAUGAUGCUGCAAAUUGUAAUUUUUGUUUGUAAUAGGAGAAUAUUUAAAAGCAACUUGUAGUCUCUUGAAUGUAGUAGGAAAAUAAUUAACAUU